rnacentral:rRNA from 1 species
AGAGUUUGAUCCUGGCUCAGAACGAACGCUGGCGGCAUGCAUCAUACAUGCAAGUCGAACGGGGAGAGUUGUAGCAAUACAGCGCUCCUAGUGGCGAACGGGUGAGUAACACGUAGGUAACCUGCCCUCGUGACCGGGAUAACGUGCCGAAAGGCGCGCUAAUACCGGAUGUGACCCCGAUCUGGCAUCAGAUAGAGGUA